rnacentral:tRNA from 2 species
GGGCCUAUAGCUCAGUUGGUUAGAGCACCUGACUCAUAAUCAGGGGGUCCCAGGAUCAUGCCCUGGUGGGCCCAC